AUUGUGAACAGUGCGGAAUAAGAAGAAGCUGACAAAUGCAAUUUAUUAGUUUGUUUACAAAAGUGGUAUUUCUACAAUUCAUGUUUGUUUAUUAUUAUAAAUUAAUACAAUGGUCACACAAUUAGACGAUGUUCGAUUAAUUAAACUGGUACAAUCGCAUCCUAUUUUGUAUGAUAGAAAUCUCGUCAGAGGGCCUAAAACUUCUUCUUUAAAAGAUGAUAUUUGGAAGAAAUUAUCGAUACAGUUAAACUGCUCUGAGCGCGCUUGUAUAACACGAUGGAAAAGUAUUCGUGACCGCUUUGGAAAAGAAUUGCGUAGGGCACAAGAAAAUCCUGAGGAAGCGGUUAACUGGGACAUGUUUGAACAUCUACUCUUCUUACGAGAACAUUACAAACAUGGACAAACAAACAGCGAAGCUCUACUUAACAUAAAAUAUGAACCAAAAAAACGAAAACGGGGGCGAAAGCCGCGAGUAGAGUGUGAAGCUGAAGCAAUUAAGGAAGAACGAGAUGAUGACGAUGUAGAUCCUGAAGAAUUAAUUGAAAAUCAACAAUUGAUCGAAUUAGUAAAAGAACAUCCUGUAUUGUAUGAUAAGUAUAAAAUAAGGGACUCGAAAAAUUUGACACUGAAAAAUGACGCAUGGCAUGACAUUUCAGAGAGUAUGGGAAUAUCCGAAGAGACAUGUUACAAACGUUGGAAAAAAUUGAGGGACCGAUUUGCCCGCGAAUAUCGCCACCAGAAAAUUUAUCCUGAGCGAUCUGUAACGUGGGUCUAUUUUCAGGAUUUGUCUUUUCUCGAAGAUCAUUAUAGAAAAGGAAUUCCGCUGCCAGUAGAUACUAUCAGACAAAGGAAGAAAAUGAAAUCAGCGACAACAACAUCCACAGAUGAGACUUGGGUUGAAGAUUGUCCAUUUCUAUAUGUUAAAGACGGACAUCAUUCACACGGCGAAGAUAUAGAUGAUUUAGACCCCGAAUUUAGUGAAGUUAAUUCAAACUCAUUAGAUGAACUAAUAAUAAUGCCCAAAAGCAACGAGUCCUAUAACGAUAUUGUCAUUGAUGAAUCAAUAACACCGCCAGGAAAUACCUCACAGUCUAGUUUUCAAAUGUCUGAAGGAACAAAUUUAGAAGAACCCGAACAAAAACUUUCAGUUGUUAUUUCAGGAAUUCAACAAGUUUUAGAGCAAUCACAAGAGUGUUUGAAAACAUUGCAAAAACAAAAAGAACAACAAAAACAGCAAAUGCAAUCCGACGUCAGUUUAUCAAUUAAUGCCGAAGUUAGCAUGAUCCAAAAAGUGCAUAUACUACUGGAUGGUUUGAAUUUGCCAAAUCGAACGCUAGCUGAACGUCGAAUAGUACAAUUUUUAUGCGAAUGUCAAAUUAAGACUUUAAACAAUGUGGAUAUAGAAGAUGUGGAUGGUACAGAAGAUUAUUAAUUACAUAAAAAUGAAGUAAAUCUCAAAUAUUACUAUUGUGGUUAUAUAUUUAUACAUAAAGUUAGUUCAUAAAAUAAAAUUAUAAUUAAAAGUUUUGAAUUAAAUAAAAGGAAGUUUAAAAUAUUUUUAAGAAAAAAAAUUAUGCAAUCAGUAAAAUUUUCUUAACAUUUUGAUUUCCCUACUUGGAGUGAUAUUCUGAUUUUAAUUUUUUGACACCCCUUUAACGAAAAUUAGAAUGCCAUUAUUUAUUAUCACUUGCUCCUCAUUAAGUUUUAUAAUUUGAGCACAGGAGGAUAUCAAUCAAUCCAUUUGUUCUUAAUUCCAAUUUUUUUCACGAGAAUGUAUUUUAAAAAAUUAACUAUUUUGUUGAACGUACCCAAGUUGUGAAGGCUGUCAUUGUCACCAUUAAAAAUAUGACACACACUCCAGCAAUUGAUAACUAUACUAAACACACCAUACGAUUUCUCAUUGCGGGAGCGGCGAUAUUUGUGAAAAAUUAUUUAGGAUUCGCUAUCAUUAAGUAUUAAAAAAUUACUAAGCUUUGAAAGUAGUUUAAGUAAAUUUAAUAUAUAUCUGUCGUGCUCUCUAAUGGAAUUGUGAAAAAAAUACAUAUAUUGAGAAGGAGAAUAAAAAAAUAACGGGAACCAAACGGUGGUAACGUACGAGUAGAAACUGAAACUAAGGUGUUGGUGCAGUCGAAGUUUACACCGAUCGUG